AGUGAACGCUGGCGGUAGGCCUAACACAUGCAAGUCGAACGGCAGCACAGGAGAGCUUGCUCUCUGGGUGGCGAGUGGCGGACGGGUGAGGAAUACAUCGGAAUCUACUUUUUCGUGGGGGAUAACGUAGGGAAACUUACGCUAAUACCGCAUACGACCUACGGGUGAAAGCAGGGGAUCUUCGGACCUUGCGCGAUUGAAUGAGCCGAUGUCGGAUUAGCUAGUUGGCGGGGUAAAGGCUCACCAAGGCGACGAGCCGUAGCUGGUCUGAGAGGAUGAUCAGCCACACUGGAACUGAGACACGGUCCAGACUCCUACGGGAGGCAGCAGUGGGGAAUAUUGGACAAUGGGCGCAAGCCUGAUCCAGCCAUACCGCGUGGGUGAAGAAGGCCUUCGGGUUGUAAAGCCCUUUUGUUGGGAAAGAAAUCCAGCUGGCUAAUACCCGGUUGGGAUGACGGUACCCAAAGAAUAAGCACCGGCUAACUUCGUGCCAGCCGCCGCGGUAA
rnacentral:rRNA from 1 species